rnacentral:rRNA from 1 species
AAUCAACGCUGGCGGCGUGCCUCAGACAUGCAGGUCGAACGAUUAAAGCUCUCUUCGGAGAGUGCAUAAAGUGGCGCACGGGUGAGUAACACGUAAGUAAUCUACCUUCGAGUGGGGAAUAACGUCCGGAAACGGACGCUAAUACCGCAUAACGCAGCGGCAUCGCAAGAUGACAGUUGUUAAAGAUUUAUCGCUUGAAGAGGAGCUUGCGGCAGAUCAGCUUGUUGGUAAGGUAACGGCUUACCAAGGCUACGAUCUGUAUCCGGUCUAAGAGGACGGUCGGACACACUGACACUGAAUAACGGGUCAGACUCCUACGGAGGCAGCAGUCGGGAAUUUUGGGCAAUGGGGAAACCCUGACCCAGCAACGCCGCGUGAAGGAUGAAGUA